UAGAUACCCUGGUAGUCCACGCCGUAAACGAUGGAUACUUGUUGUUAGAGGUAUUGACCCCUCUAGUGACGGAGCUAACGCGUUAAGUAUCCCGCCUGGGGAGUACGGUCGCAAGAUUAAAACUCAAAGAAAUUGACGGGGGCCCGCACAAGCGGUGGAGCAUGUGGUUUAAUUCGAUGCAACGCGAAGAACCUUACCUGGCUUGACAUGAACUGGAAGAAUGGCAGAGAUGCCUUCGCCCGCAAGGGUC
rnacentral:rRNA from 1 species